rnacentral:rRNA from 1 species
AGAGAGAGACAUGCGCGCAUAUCAAUAAGCGGAGGAAAAGAAACUAACAAGGAUUCCCUUAGUAACGGCGAGUGAAGCGGGAAGAGCUCAAAUUUGAAAUCUUCAAGGUUUUACCUUGACGAAUUGUAGUUUAAAGAAGUGUUUUCUGCUGAAGUUUUGGUAAAAGUUCUUUGGAAUAGGACAUCAUAGAGGGUGAGAAUCCCGUAUUUGACCAUUAUUUUCAGCUUUGUGAUACACUUUCAAAGAGUCGGAUUGUUUGGGAAUGCAGUCCAAAAUGGGUGGUAAAUUUCAUCUAAAGCUAAAUAUUGGCGAGAGACCGAUAGCGAACAAGUACCGUGAGGGAAAGAUGAAAGAACUUUGAAAAGAGAGUUAAACAGUACGUGAAAUUGUCAAAAGGGAAGCGUUUGACACCAGUGUUGUUUUCUCGAAAAUCAAUUAAAAAUGGCUCGAUUUUGUAUUGUUGAGACCUUAAAAGCUCACUGUACAUUUUUCGUGUCUUUUUUAAUGCACUUUUCGUUUAACAAGUCAACAUCAGUUUCUUUUGUUGUAAAAGGGUCAUUGGAAGGUGGCUUUCUUUUCGGAGAAAGUGUUUAUAGCCUUUGGCCUCUGCAAUCGGAGAGACUGAGGUCUGCAGCGUAGACUCUUCGGGGUUAGAUACAUUUGUGCUAAGUUAUAGCUUUUUAUAGACAACUUGUUGACUAUAAUUAGUCUUGUAGCUUACUCGCUUAUGCUAUUUUACCUACGCUUAGGAUGUUGAGUCGUAGAGCACGCAG